rnacentral:ncRNA from 1 species
UUUCCCCGGCGUUGCAGGGGCUUAAAUGCGACGACAACUCAUGCGCUGAGUGGCAGCGCGGUUACAAACUAAAUCUAAGUUGUGGAGGUAUU